rnacentral:rRNA from 1 species
GAUGAACGCUGGCGGCGUGCCUAAUACAUGCAAGUCGAGCGAACAGACGAGGAGCUUGCUCCUCUGACGUUAGCGGUGGACGGGUGAGUAACACGUGGAUAACCUACCUAUAAGACUGGGAUAACUUCGGGAAACCGGAGCUAAUACCGGAUAACAUGUUGAACCGCAUGGUUCAACAGUGAAAGACGGUCUUGCUGUCACUUAUAGAUGGAUCCGCGCCGCAUUAGCUAGUUGGUAAGGUAACGGCUUACCAAAGCAACGAUGCGUAGCCGGCCUGAGAGGGUGCUCGGCCACACGGGAACGGAGACACGGUGCAGAAUCCUACGGGAGGCAGCAGUAGGGAAUCUUCCGCAAUGGGCGAAAGCCUGACGGAGCAACGCCGCGUGAGUGAAGAAGGUCUUCGGAUCGUAAAACUCUGUUAUUAGGGAAGAACAAAUGUGUAAGUAACUAUGCACGUCUUGACGGUACCUAAUCAGAAAGCCACGGCUAACUACGUGCCAGCCGCCGCCGUAA